rnacentral:rRNA from 1 species
CCUACGGGAGGCAGCAGUGAGGAAUAUUGGUCAAUGGACGCAAGUCUGAACCAGCCAUGCCGCGUGCAGGAAGACGGCUCUAUGAGUUGUAACCUGCUUUUGUACGAGGGUAAACGCAGAUACGCGUAUCUGUCUGAAAGUAUCGUACGAAUAAGGAUCGGCUAACUCCGUGCCAGCAGCCGCGGUAAUACGGAGGAUUCAAGCGUUAUCCGGAUUUAUUGGGUUUAAAGGGUGCGUAGGCGGUCGGAUAAGUUAGAGGUGAAAUCCCGAGGCUCAACUUCGGAAUUGCCUCUGAUACUGUUCGGCUAGAGAGUAGGUGCGGUAGGCGGAAUGUAUGGUGUAGCGGUGAAAUGCUUAGAGAUCAUACAGAACACCGAUUGCGAAGGCAGCUUACCAAGCUACUUCUGACGUUGAGGCACGAAAGCGUGGGGAGCAAACAGGAUUAGAUACCCCAGUAGUC